GGCUGGUCUGAAGGUAGUGAGUUAUCUCAAUUGACUGUUCACAGUCAGUUAACAGAUCAAACUCCUUGUUCUACUCUUUUCCCGUUCUCACUACUGCACUUGACUAGUCUUAA
ensembl:misc_RNA Y_RNA Y RNA